rnacentral:rRNA from 1 species
GAUGAACGCUGGCGGCGUGCCUAAUACAUGCAAGUCGAGCGAACGGACGAGAAGCUUGCUUCUCUGAUGUUAGCGGCGGACGGGUGAGUAACACGUGGAUAACCUACCUAUAAGACUGGGAUAACUUCGGGAAACCGUAGCUAAUACCGGAUAAUAUUUUGAACCGCAUGGUUCAAAAGUGAAAGACGGUCUUGCUGUCACUUAUAGAUGGAUCCGCGCUGCAUUAGCUAGUUGGUAAGGUAACGGCUUACCAAGGCAACGAUGCAUAGCGGACCUGAGAGGGUGAUCGGCCACACUGGAACUGAGACACGGUCCAGACUCCUACGGGAGGCAGCAGUAGGGAAUCUUCCGCAAUGGGCGAAAGCCUGACGGAGCAACGCGGCGUGAGUGAUGAAGGUCUUCGGAUCGUAAAACUCUGUUAUUAGGGAAGAACAUAUGUGUAAGUAACUGUGCACAUCUUGACGGUACCUAAGCAGAAAGCCACGGCUAACUACGU